rnacentral:lncRNA from 1 species
GCUAAGUGUAAAAAAAUAUAACAUACGACUCUAACAUCCAGAAGUGUCUUCAACAAGUGAGUACAUGAAUGAAACUACUAGCUAAAGGUAGAAUAGAAGGAGACUCUUCCGGUCUGCGGACGCGGCAGAUGCAUACCUCAAGCCUCCAAAUGUAGCUCCGAGAUCACUAAUAGCGCGCCCGACCAGUAGUACCUGGAUCUG